rnacentral:rRNA from 1 species
CCUACGGGAGACUGCAGUGAGGAAUAUUGGUCAAUGGCCGGAAGGCUGAACCAGCCAUGCCGCGUGAAGGUCAGUGCCCUAUGGGCGUUAAACUUCUUUUGUGCGGGAGCAAUAAUGGUCACGUGUGGCCAGACGAGAGUACCGUACGAAUAAGCAUCGGCUAACUCCGUGCCAGCAGCCGCGGUAAUACGGGGGAUGCAAGCGUUAUCCGGAUUUAUUGGGUUUAAAGGGUGCGUAGGCUGUGAGGUAAGUCAGCGGUGAAAUGCCCCCGCUCAACGGGGUGAAGUGCCAUUGAUACUGCCUGGCUGGAAUGCGGAUGCCGUGGGAGGAAUGUGUGGUGUAGCGGUGAAAUGCAUAGAUAUCACACAGAACACCGAUUGCGAAGGCAUCUCACGAAUCCGCGAUUGACGCUGAUGCACGAAAGCGUGGGUAUCAAACAGGAUUAGAUACCCGAGUAGUC